AUUGAACGCUAGCGGGAGGCUUUACACAUGCAAGUCGAACGAGCGGCGGACGGGUGAGUAAUAUCUCGGAACGUGCCCGGUAGAGGGGGAUAACUACUCGAAAGAGUGGCUAAUACCGCAUACCAUCCGAGGUGCCGUUAUGGGAUUAGCUCGUUGGGUGGGUAAUGGCUCACCAAGGCAACGAUCCGUAGCUGGUUUGAGAGGAUGACCAGCCACACUGGGACUGAGACACGGCCCAGACUCCUACGGGAGGCAGCAGUGGGGAAUUUUGGACAAUGGGGGAAACCCUGAUCCAGCCAUCCCGCGUGUAUGAGAAGGCCUUCGGGUUGUAAAGUACUUUUGGCAGAGAAGCGGUAUCUGCAGAAUAAGCACCGGCUAACUACGUGCCAGCAGCCGCGGUAAUUC
rnacentral:rRNA from 1 species